rnacentral:rRNA from 1 species
GUCGUGGUGCGGUAAGCGCGUAGGGUGUUUGAUAGGCAAAUCCGUCAAACAUUAAGCCUGAGACGUGAUGCGGAGUCACAGAUGUGACGAAUUGACUGAUCCUACACUGCCUAGAAAAACUUCUAACCAGAACAAGUGUGCCCGUACUGAAACCGACACUGGUGGGCAAGUAGAAAAUACUAAGGCGGCGGGUGAAGCCCUCUUAAGGAACUCGGCAAAUUAACCCCGUAACUUAGGGAAAAGGGGUGCCUUGGUUGGUGUAGGGAUUUACUCCCGAAGCUGAUUGAGGUCGCAGUGAAAGGGCCCAAGCGACUGUUUAACACAAACACAGGUCUCUGCCAAGCCGCAAGGCGAUGUAUAGGGGCUGACGCCUGCCCGGUGCUGGAACGUUAAGAGGAGGGCUUAGGAGCAAUCCGAAGGCUUAAACCGAAGCGCCAGUAAACGGCGGCCGUAACUAUAACGGUCCUAAGGUAGCGAGAUUCCUUGUCGGGUAAGUUCCGACCCGCACGAAAGGCGUAACGACUUGGGCACUGUCUCGAGAGGGGGCCCGGCGAAAUUGCAUUACCUGUGAAGAUGCAGGUUACCCGCAGCAAGACGGAAAGACCCCGUGGAGCUUUACUGUAGCUUGAUGUUGGAUUUUGGUCAGUUCUGUACAGGAUACGUGGGAGACAGUGAUGGCGUGACGCAAGUUACGUCGGAGUCGUUGUUGGGAUACCACGCUGAACUGGCUGGAGUUCUAACCAGACGAGUGAAUCCUUGUCUGGGACAGCGUCUGGUAGGCAGUUUGACUGGGGCGGUUGCCUCCUAAAGAGUAACGGAGGCGUUCAAAGGUUCCCUCAGCCUGGUCGGGAAUCAGGCGCAGAGUGCAAGCGCAUAAGGGAGUUUGACUGCGAGACGAACAUGUCGAGCAGAGUGGAAACACGGAGCUAGUGAUCCGGCGGUGCCGAAUGGAAGGGCCGUCGCUUAUCGGAUAAAAGCUACCCCGGGGAUAACAGGCUUAUCGCGCCCAAGAGUCCAUAUCGACGGCGCGGUUUGGCACCUCGAUGUCGGCUCAUCGCAUCCUGGGGCUGUAAUCGGUCCCAAGGGUUGGGCUGUUCGCCCAUUAAAGCGGUACGUGAGCUGGGUUCAGAACGUCGUGAGACAGUUCGGUCCCUAUCUGCUGUGGGCGUAGGAGAAUUGAAGGGAUCUGACCUUAGUACGAGAGGACCGGGUUGGACAGACCUCUGGUGAACCAGUUGUGAUGCCAGUCGCAAAGCUGGGUAGCUAAGUCUGGAAGGGAUAAACGCUGAAAGCAUCUAAGCGUGAAGCCCACCUUAAGAUGAGUUCUCCCACCCGUAAGGGGUAAGAGCCCUGGAAGACUACCAGGUUGAUAGGUCGGAU